rnacentral:rRNA from 1 species
UACGAAGGGGGCUAGCGUUGUUCGGAAUUACUGGGCGUAAAGGGCGCGUAGGCGGCGCAUCAAGUCAGGCGUGAAAGCCCCGGGCUUAACCUGGGAACUGCGUUUGAGACUGGUGUGCUAGAGUUCGGGAGAGGUGAGUGGAAUUCCCAGUGUAGAGGUGAAAUUCGUAGAUAUUGGGAAGAACACCGGUGGCGAAGGCGGCUCACUGGACCGAUACUGACGCUGAGGCGCGAAAGCGUGGGGAGCAAACAGG